UGCAAUAAAACAAACCAGUGGCUCCGAAUCUUGCACUUAACUCUGUAUGGAUGUUUAAGUUAAGACUGCCAAAGGCCUCAAAACCACCAAGCCGAACCAGACAGAUUGAUCGCCCAGCAUUGAAACUUUUAGAGGGUGGCAGCCGAAGUCAAGGACUCUUUUAGCUUGUCCUUGGAAAUUCUUAUAAAUUACGAUGACAUCCGCUUGAAACGUGCAAUAUGGGCAGUGAUGCUGCACUCAUUUGAUCAUAACCAACGACUUCAAUACAGUACGCCCGGAAUUAAAAGAUUUACUUCAGAUCCGGGAGGUAUUACCUAUAAGAUGAAAUAUGAUUGGCGACCAGGG